rnacentral:lncRNA from 1 species
GAUCUACAUUUCUAGAAGCAUCCUCCUGAACAGAAACCCCAGAUCUGCCCUGGGUCAGCAUCUUGCUUGGCUUCAUAGCUGGUGUUCUCGCCUUCUUUGCCUCAGAUUGCCGACCUGUUCAGUGAGGAGUGAGUUCCUAAGCUAUACUCAUGAAGACUCACUGGACUCCCUCAUGCUCACACUAAAGAGGGGAGCCGAGUCUGUCGUAGUCAUCAAAGCCAGAGGAGACAGAGGCAGUCAGGAGAGGUAGCCAAGGCCAGCGCUCCCUGAGCCCCAUGUUCUCACUGAUCUCAAGGCUGGAACUAAAGGCAUAGCCUUGGAGCUGAACUUGAAGAUGCCCAGAGGAGUUCAUGGAGAGAGCAGGCUGGCAUCGAGUGGACAGAGGAGCCUGAAUCGAA